rnacentral:tRNA from 1 species
UCUAAUAUGGCAGACUAGUGCAAUGAACUUAAGAUUCAUUUAUAAAUUUAUUUUUGUUAGAA